AUAAUGCCAUGGCAUUAUGAUUUCAUGGACCACCUCCCAGAAAACUGCUGUUACUAUGGGGAUCCUGACAUCAGAACUUCAACUGUGACAUGAGCCAGCCAGCCAACAAAGGCAGGCAGUUACGGGCCGUGACUCCAACCAGUGAGCCAAGGCAGGCAGGCUGGCAGCAGCUGUGACUCCAGCCAGACAGCAAAGCACUGUUUUUCAUUUUUAUGAUGAUAAGUGCUGAAGACAACAAGACAACUUGCAAACAUGAAGAAUCUGUUCCAAACCUUUACUGAAUGUGGACUUCAGUACACGUCCAUCAAGUUAGGACAAGCAGCUCUGGGAACAAAUGCCAUAUCUAAUCCCAGGAUGUGCACUACAAGAUAGAGAAGAAGAGCUAAAAUAGUUCCUGGGAUCUAAAAUUUGAAGAGGAGAGAGUACUAUACGAGGUUGAAGAUAUCUAAGGAUCUGGCCAUCUCAAGUAAUUCAUCCUGAUUUUUAUUGGUUUAUUCAUACGUAAUCCUGUAAUAUGUAUCCUAUGUUUGUUAUAGAAAUUAAACUAUUCACCUCAUACAAAGACUUAGAACUUUUUACUGUAUUUUACUCAGCAACAACAAAUGAUAUCUAUCCAAGAAGACCCAUUUUUGAGUAGCUUCAAAUAAUUUUUGUGUACUGGCAUAUGUGAAAUUUGUAGCACUGUGAGGUUACCCCAGGGCAAUCCUGUAUUGUGUUCUAGAAGAUAUUCUGUGGUUACAGAAAUUCUAAAGCUAUUUAAACAACUGUUAUCAGAUGUGUUAUGCACUGUUUAGGUAAUUGCAUUAAUUUGAAACAGUGACUGCACUGGUACAUUACAUUUAUGCUACCCCUUUCACUGUUAGAAAGCUUUCCCACAAAACAUCUUUUCCUGUACAUGCUAAUUUACUAGGAGUGGUAUUCACUGCCCCUAUUAACUUCCUUGAUUUAACAUAAUCCUGUGGCUGUCUCUGCUUUUACUGCCCUGCUAAAAGUUACCUUCUGCAAGGUGCCAUCAGUCUGCAACCCAAAUUCUAUGGUGCAUAGAAUUGGUGAGGUAAAGGCUGAAGGCUCUGCCAAUACACAGCUGGGUUGGAAUAUGGCACAUAAUACAAUGAAUAAUUUUGAGGGUUUAGAUUUAAAGAAUCUGUCUCAAUUCAGUAGGACAAUGAGUAACUGGUUUAUUUAACACAGUGGAAGAAACAACAGUUAAAUACUUUUAUGUGUUACAGGUAGACUCCCCACUUAUUUACAAUAUUGAACAAUGGAUAUGAAGUAACUAGGAUCAAAUUAAGUUUGGAAAUUAGAAGGUUCAUUUGAGAUAAUCUAAUUUAUUUUAUGAAGAGUUCUUGUAAUGAGGCUCACUAACCCAGUAGGUCCCUUCCUAGCAAUAUUACUUAUUAAAGAAAUAAGCAUUUCAUAACAUAUAGAAAGAAGUUUAUCUGUAUUCUGUAUUCUUUUUCUGUAAAUACUGCUAUCAAGUAUUCCAUAAUAUGCUUUAUACAAUCUUCUAAAUAUUUCUCCUGUGCGUUUUGAGAAAAGUCCCUGUCUAUCUGCCUACAUCCUCCUUGGUCAUCUCCUACACCAAGGAGUUAUUUGGGAGCCCUCUCUGAGGGAGGAUGAAAAGGAACCUGCUGAGCAGUCCAGAGAGAUUCUCCACAGACCUCCCCACUUUCUGAAUUCUGACAACCAUAAUCAACUCCCAGUGGAGGACACAAAAGAAAAGUGAGGCAAGCUGAGAAAUACAGAAUGGUUCAGUUCUUUGGCUGCAUUUGUCAGAUUGUGAUUCAGAAUUUAAAGUAUAAAAAGUAAAGUUCCUAGUACCUUACCUUGUUGCACCAUUAGGAACUCUCCACUCCUGCAAGUGAGGUUUUGCAAAACAAUUCCACAUCCUAUCUGAUCUUUACUAAAGAUAAUCAGUUUAUUGCAUAUCCAAAGCUGUAAUAUUAAUCAAAAUCUGCCAUUUUCACAAUUUCAUGAUUAAAAUUAUACUAUGUGAAUCAGAAAUCCAUACCUACAAACAUUCCUGAAAUGAGAGAUGUUAGAGAUGUUACAGUAAAUUUCAUCAUGGAUUUCCUCUUUGAAUAGUCAUUUUGAUUGCUGUGACAGGGUGCUCUGACAUUAUACAUGAUGUUUAGAUCCCAGCAAAGUAAGACACGUAUCUGAAAAUCUGAAGCUGCAAUACCCAAAUAAUAUGAAUUUCUGUAUCUGAUUAAGCAACUGCAAGAAAAUGCAUUACUUUCUGCAGCUAUAGUUCUGGUGCUUAUUUUUGAAGGACUGUUGACUGUCUAUAUGCAUUGAAAAAGUCAUACACAUCUUUUGAUUUGAAAGUUCAAAAAUGACCAUGAAAAACAGAUUUUGUGGAAUGAAAAAUGAAUCAGCUGGUCUCCAAACUAGGAAGACGGUGUAAUUUGCUAAAUUAGAAAAAGAGACGA